rnacentral:siRNA from 1 species
UGAGCCUGAAGGAGAUGUUGA